GUCUCUUUGAUUUUAUUUAAUAAGGAGUCGGGCCUGCUCGGUGAUUAAUAUUUAACAGCUGCGGUAUUAUAACUGUACUAAGGUAGCAUAAUAAUUUGCUCUAUAAAUUAAUGGGCUAGAAUGAAUGGUUUGACGAAAAUUAGACUGUCUCUAUUUUAUUUAUUAGAAAUUAAUCAUUAUAGUGAGAAAGCUUAAAUAAUUUAAAGGGACGAAAAGACCCUAUUGAGCUUUAAAGAUAAAUAAAAGUAAUUUAUAUUAAUAUAUAUAUAUAAUAUAUAUUAUUAUCUAUAUUAAUUUUGGUUGGGGUGAUCAAGGAAUAAAUAUGAUUUAGAUAAUGUGUAACUUCCUUAAAUAUAUAAUAGUUGACAGAGUAAUAAACCAAAUUUUUUGCUUAUAAGAUAAGUUACCAUAGGGAUAACAGCGUAAUUUUUUUUGAGAGUUCAUAUUAAAAAAAAAGAUUGCGACCUCGAUGUUGGAUUAAAAUGACCUUAAGGUGUAGAGGCUUUAUUUGGUGAAUCUGUUCGAUUUUUAAAAUUUUAC
rnacentral:rRNA from 1 species